GACGAACGCUGGCGGCGUGCUUAACACAUGCAUGUCGAACGGAAAGGCCCUGCUUUUGUGAGGUGCUCGAGUGGCGAACGGGUGAGUAACACGUGAGUAACCUGCCCUUGACUUUGGGAUAACUUCAGGAAACUGGGGCUAAUACCGGAUAGGAGCUCCUGCUGCAUGGUGGGGGUUGGAAAGUUUCGGCGGUUGGGGAUGGACUCGCGGCUUAUCAGCUUGUUGGUGGGGUAGUGGCUUACCAAGGCUUUGACGGGUGGCCGGCCUGAGAGGGUGACCGGCCACAUUGGGACUGAGAUACGGCCCAGACUCCUACGGGAGGCAGCAGUGGGGAAUAUUGCACAAUGGGCGGAAGCCUGAUGCAGCAACGCCGCGUGCGGGAUGACGGCCUUCGGGUUGUAAACCGCUUUCGCCUGUGACGAAGCGUGAGUGACGGUAAUGGGUAAAGAAGCACCGGCUAACUACGUG
rnacentral:rRNA from 1 species